rnacentral:lncRNA from 1 species
CUUAACAAGAAUGAUUCUUCCAUCGGCAAUUCGGGUUGUUGGUGCAGGCACUAUUAUCCGCGACCAUAAUGGGAAUUGGAUUCCCGGCUCUCGUUGGUUUAUUGGUCACGCCCUAAUAUGGUUGUCAAGCUUUGGGCUCUUUGGGAUGGUGUUUUACUUGCUAAGCAUUUGCACAUCUCUUAUCUCAUUGCAGGGCUAUGUUGACAAGCUUCCAAAGUAGUUUUGUUCUUCACAUUUUCCAAAAAAGCAACCAAUAGGUGGAUGCUUUGACUACUGAGGGUGGUAAUGUUAGGACUAAUAAUUAUUUUGAUUCUAGGAAUUCCGG